rnacentral:rRNA from 1 species
AGAUUGAACGCUGGCGGCAGGCCUAACACAUGCAAGUCGAGCGGUAGAGAGGUGCUUGCAUCUCUUGAGAGCGGCGGACGGGUGAGUAAUGCCUAGGAAUCUGCCUAGUGGUGGGGGAUAACGUUCGGAAACGGACGCUAAUACCGCAUACGUCCUACGGGAGAAAGCGGGGGACCUUCGGGCCUCGCGCCAUUAGAUGAGCCUAGGUCGGAUUAGCUAGUUGGUGAGGUAAUGGCUCACCAAGGCGACGAUCCGUAACUGGUCUGAGAGGAUGAUCAGUCACACUGGAACUGAGACACGGUCCAGACUCCUACGGGAGGCAGCAGUGGGGAAUAGUUGGACAAGUGGGACGAAAGCCUGAUCCAGCCAUGCCGCGUGUGUGAAGUAGGUCUUCGGAUUGAAAGCUACGUUUAAGGUGGAAGGUAGGUUGUAAACCUAAGUACGUUGACUAACGUUUGAACGUUACCGACAAGUAAUAAGCUACCGGCUAACGUUCGUGACCAGCA